GGUGGGAGCCGCGCUCGCCCGCCCACCCCUCGACUCCGGAGAGCGUAAAAGUUUGUCACAGCUCGCGCGUUCCGAGCUCCAACACGCCCUCAGGUAAAGGUGGAAGUACACGGUCACGCUGUGUUGACAGAGACAGGGAUGGAGGAGCGGAAAUACCGUCACCUCUCGGUACUGAUUGCCGGGAAUUGGUGCUCCAGAUGUUGCACUGGAAGCGCUGCGAGUGUGAGCAGGUGGCAGUAGCUCGAAUCACAGCUUGUAGCAGAUGUUCUCAAUAUUUCUGUUGAAAUUUCCUGAUCUCUACCUGCAAGAGGAGCCUCAGAGCUUCAUCUUGGUGGUACCUGUCAUCAUUGAUGUAAGCUGUUGUUCAGCAGGGAGCUUUGGGAAGAGAAUUGGCUGGAUCAACAAGUCUAUCUUCACUGUAGAAAAACAAUUUGAAGCUCAUCUUUAUUGAUGUUACUUUCACUUGACUCCUCAUAAUUGUCCAAUUACAAGGUCUUUUGCAGUUCCACAGAAGUUUUGGUAUCAUCUUGUCAAGUUCUGCCAAAAGUCUGCUGAGGUUUUGGGAGAAUCAAUGAACCAAUCAGGGGAAAGAAUCCUUUGUAACAAUAUAAACUUCCUACUCCAUGACACUGGUGUCUGACUUCCUUUUGAAGGCUUCCCAGAAAAAUCUCAUCACUGGCUAAUCUGCAAAGGUCUCCUUGGAAUUCUUGUGGUGCAGGCCUGCUGCAGUCUUGCCUAAAAAUGCUAUGUAGAAAUGUUGAUUCUAGACUACCUGAUGUCCGGCACCAUUGCACACGGAGCUGGAGUCUGUCAUCACUGCUUCUCUGCAUGUGAGCCUGCUGCCUCUGGCCCCCCUGGCCCCCAGAAGCAAGUUACUUGCCUUGUGCUGCCUUGGGUGAAAGUAAACUUCCUCUACUGGCAGAAGUGGAAUGGCACAAGCCUCUCUGGUCCUCAGGAGCAGCCGCAUCAUGCUGGGACUUCUCUGGCCAUUGUAAUUCUGACGUGAAAAUAGAUCAGUGGAAACUUUGCACAGAAACAUUUCCAGUGUUCAAGUAAGGGCUUUGUAUAGAGGAGCAACACAGGCGCUAUAAUGUACUGCUUGGAGACCAUAAUCUAUCCUGCCCUUAAUGACAGCUUGUACGCGCCCUUGCCUCAACAAACCAGAAGGAACCACUGGCAAAUGGGUGCCACUGCUGGUGAAAGAAAAACAGCCAGAUGUACUGCUUCUGGGACUGGGGCAGAAACCCCUUGAAUACCUGCUUCAAAUCAACUUUCAUGUUUUAUUGUUGGAAAUGGACCCUUUCGAGGAUCACCGCUUCCUUUUGCAAAAAUGGAAAGGAAACAAGACAUGCACAACAUCACCCUGGCCUGCAGUUCCAACACCUUCAUGGAGGUCAUCUUCUAGACAGUUGUGCUUCAAUAGCCAGAAAUCAGCAAAGAUUCCACCCAUCCUUUCUGCCUCGGCUGCUCCUGAACUCAGUGCAACCCCUCCAAAUGAAUGUGAAUUGGAACAUGUAUUGCCUUUCAACUUAAUCGAGUACUUACCAUGAAUCAGUGCACAAAAUAGGGGAGAGAAAAUGAGGGCGACAAAUACACAUGGAACCUGCUUUUAAUGAAUCUACUAUUAGUUUCAGGAUGCAUAUUGUGUUCUUUUGUUUUUAAUUAGGUGUGUCCCUAAGACAAGAAACGAAUGGAAAAGUGUGUUCUGGAAGUAUUUUAAGCCCCAUUAAUGAGAAACAAAAUAAAAUACAACAACAGCAGCCACAAGAGCAACAAGAGCAACAACAAAACUCUAAUGUGAACAACUCAGGACUUUUCAAUUCAGUUUUUUUGAUGUUCUUCAAGUUCUGAGAGAUACGAUCCAUUUUAUUUUGUAUAUUUUGGUGGUGCUGCCAUAGGAUUCAUUUUAUUGAUUCCAUAAAUAUUCAGCAGGCUUUAGAGACAUUAAUACAAUAUAGUUUGAGUUCAUUUGAAUCAAAUUCUAAUUUUUUCCUUUAGGUGUAGAUUGUCUGUUGGAAAAUACAUCUAUUGCAUAUUUCUUGGCCGAAGGAAGGUGAAUUAUACCUGGUGUCUUUAUAGACAUCUGCCUGCCACGCCCUAGGCCCCACCAUUCCAAUGAGUGAGUAGCAAGAAAAGAAAGCUCAUAUUCCACCUUGGGGGUGACACCCAUGGACUAAGUAUUGCACAGGGGCCAGAACAGCUGGGCAAUGAUUCUCCAUGAAAUUUGACUAAAUAAUCUUUUCAGUAUUCAUUGUGUGACUUCUUUUAUUCCCUAAGUUGGAUGACUAUACAGUUUUUCUAGAAAUGUAUUUCUGAGCUGAGAGUAAGUUUAAGUUACGAUUUUUCCAGCGUUAUAACAUUAAUAUGACUCUAGCCACUAGACAUUUUAUGUAGUGUCUGUGACACAUUUUAGUAUGGAUGAGCCAACAAUAGACGUGUCUUUGUCUUGAGUAGUGUCCAUCUGAAUUGAAAAUGAACCAGCUUUUCUUUUUGAACAUCGUCAACAGACUUCUUAAUUAAGCUGCCAAUACAUACUGCCAAUAACACUGUGCUGUUCUAGAAAUAGUGUCAGUGCUGUUUCCACCGUAUUAAAUAAACAAUGCUGCUCCAUAUAUACUGGAUUUUAAGUGUUCUU